rnacentral:rRNA from 1 species
GACGAACGCUGGCGGCGUGCCUAAUACAUGCAAGUUGAGCGCUGAAGGUUGGUACUUGUACCAACUGGAUGAGCAGCGAACGGGUGAGUAACGCGUGGGGAAUCUGCCUUUGAGCGGGGGACAACAUUUGGAAACGAAUGCUAAUACCGCAUAAAAACUUUAAACACAAGUUUUAAGUUUGAAAGAUGCAAUUGCAUCACUCAAAGAUGAUCCCGCGUUGUAUUAGCUAGUUGGUGAGGUAAAGGCUCACCAAGGCGAUGAUACAUAGCCGACCUGAGAGGGUGAUCGGCCACAUUGGGACUGAGACACGGCCCAAACUCCUACGGGAGGCAGCAGUAGGGAAUCUUCGGCAAGGGACGAAAGUCUGACCGAGCAACGCCGCGUGAGUGAAGAAGGGUUUCGGAUCGUAAAACUCUGUUGGUAGAGAAGAACGUUGGUGAGAGUGGAAAGCUCAUCAAGUGACGGUAACUACCCAGAAAGGGACGGCUAACUACGUG